GCCCUUUUUUUGCCUCUUAGGCGGUCAGGACGUCUCCCAUUCUCCCGAGGUGUACAGCUUGUGCCAGAUAACGACCAACAGAAGAAGCGUCUCUGGGGCGGAAAUCAGAGCCCACGGCUGAGGGAAUUCAUUAAUUUGGACGCAGCAGCAAUCCGGGUGACCCUGGGUGUCAGCACACCACAGUGACAGUGAGAGGAGGGAGCCUUAAUGUCGGAGCCCAAAUGGAAUUGUGGUUUCUGUAGUUUUGUUUAUUUAUUUGUUUGUUUGUUUGUCUCUAUAAAAAGCCCUUAUAUAAACCAGGUAUUCAACAAAGUUUAGCACGUUUAGACAAGUGGUACAGUCUACAUGGUACAUAGAGUACAUAGACGUCAAAAGAAAGUACCACCGAAACGAAUGGAACGACAAGUGGUCUGCAGAUUUACACUGUACACGACUUACAAAUCUAACUAACGAACGUGUCGCCCGAGCGCUUGAAUACAAUGCAAUUUUUUUUUUUUUUAUGUGACUAUAUGAGCGUGUGUCUACCAUACAGAUCAAUGGUCAACCCAUAACAGAGCGCAAGCUUCACACAGCAAGACAUCGUAAAUGGGGGAAGGAAGGGGCUGGGGAAAGUGAGAGUGCAUCGAAAGUUUGGAAGCACGACGUCACUGUUGUUGGUCUGUGUCAAAUGCUACAUGUUUGACGCAACCUGAAAUACUAAUACAGUACAAAAAAGAAAAAAAAACAAACAAACAAGAAGAAUUUCAUACACAUCAGUAUAUAUUGCUGAAGAUUGGACCACAAGUAUGUCUACCUGGUUGCAUUCGGAAAACGCAGGUAGAAUACUUGUGCUCUAGAAAGAAGUCUUACAAAGAACAGUCAUUUAGCUCUUGUCGGAGUGCCACACACACAGGCAUAAAUCACUGGAGAUUGAGUAAGCACGCGGCUCUGAUGUCCCACGGUCCUUUUGACACAGGAGAGAGGUUGCUACAUAUACAGAAGUGGCGCCGCCAGAAAGUCUAACAUUCACAGAGGUCUGCGUGUACUCAAUCUCUUAUGAUUCCUGUGUUUUUUUUUUUGGUCCUGUAACCUAUCCUAAGAAUGGAUAAGGUCCUUUAAAAAGUAUGCCCCUUCACAGA
ensembl:lncRNA